rnacentral:rRNA from 1 species
GACGAACGCUGGCGGCGUGCUUAACACAUGCAAGUCGAACGAUGAAGCGGUGCUUGCACCGUGGAUUAGUGGCGAACGGGUGAGUAAUACGUGAGUGACCUACCUUUGACUCUGGGAUAAGCCUGGGAAACUGGGUCUAAUACCGGAUACGACCAAUCUCUGCAUGGGGUGUUGGUGGAAAGCGUUAUGGAGUGGUUUUAGAUGGGCUCACGGCCUAUCAGCUUGUUGGUGAGGUAAUGGCUAACCAAGGCGACGACGGGUAGCCGGCCUGAGAGGGUGACCGGCCACACUGGGACUGAGACACGGCCCAGACUCCUACGGGAGGCAGCAGUGGGGAAUAUUGCACAAUGGGCGCAAGCCUGAUGCAGCGACGCCGCGUGAGGGAUGACGGCCUUCGGGUUGUAAACCUCUGUUAGCAUCGAAGAAGCGAAAGUGACGGUAGGUGCAGAGAAAGCGCCGGCUAACUACGUG